rnacentral:lncRNA from 1 species
CCUGGGCUUGGGAUGGGGCUUUUAGAGCUGAAAGUGUCUCCGAAACAGACUCCGGGGAGGAAAUGGAGUCGGCUAUCGUGUCAGAGACAGGCUCCCAUCUGGUCACAGGCAUGAGGUAGAGCUGAUGUGGCCCUGGAGGGGACAUUAUGCGUCUGGCUGUGCUCUAAGAAAGGCUUGGUGUCUCAUGAUUUCCUUCUUCCCCAGUCCUGCCAGUUUUCGCAAAAAGGAUCCUGAAGAGAAAGGAAAAAAAUUUCCCCAUCUAAAAGUGCAGAUCAGUCCUGGCUUCUCUGGAUUCUGUGCUUUUCGAGUGGAGGAAGCCCAAAGAGGACUACCAAGUUCUUGCACUUCUACAACCAUGGCCCAUGUAAGUUCACGUUUCUCCUCCUUGAGAUGUUGUGGUUUUUAACUCAUGUGAUCACAUUUAUUAUCCUGAAACUUCCUUCCUGAGACAGCACUAUUGCUCAAGUUGCCCUCAGUCACUCUGAUCUCAGUGAAGGAUGGAGCCACACAACUUAGUGACCUUCUUCUUUGCCCCUCAUUUCUCUCUCCAGUGUUCACCUAUUUCGUCACCUCUCCAAGGACUCAGUCUUUCUCAGGACCAUUGGGUGAAGUUGCUUGAGGGAAAUCCUUGAACUUCUCUAGUUAGAGUCAUGAUUCCAUGACACAGAGAUGAUAGUCCGUUAGACUCCACAGACCUGAGUGUUUCAGGUUGAUACGAUGGAAUUUAGUGUUGAUUUUUUUGCACAUGAUGAGAUCUCAUAUUGUAAGAGGUUUAUAGGACUAGGUUGGAGUGUGAUUGAGGCUUGCAUGUCGGAAUCUCAAGGGUCUGUCCAAGGGGUCCCCAGAGGGAUAAAUAACAGGACAGAAGUCAGUUUUGUGCUUGAGGAGGGUGUGCGGGUCUCUAGUGACAUCAGUGUCAUUGUGGAUCAUCCUACAUCAGCAUCCUUCAGCUUAUGUAUACAAAUAAGGGUUCCUUAUGGAUCCAAAUAAGUGUUCCUGAUGGAUGGUGGUGGUAGCAGGUGGGAAGCCCUCCCAGAUCCCUAAUGGGGAAUGAAGAAAGGCUAAGGGACUGCGCUUUAGAAAGAAACACUAGGGCUUCCCUUGUGGCUCAGCUGGUAAAGAAUCCACCUGCAGUGUGGGAGACCUAGGUUCGAUCCCUGGGUUGGGAAGAUCCCCUGGAGAAGGGAAAGGCUACCCAUUCUAGUAUUUUGGCCUGGAGAAUUCCAUGGACUGUAGAGUCCAUGGGGUCACAAAGAGUCAGACAUGACUGAGCAACUUUUCACUUUUAAAGGGACUGGGGGAGACCUUAGACAUUUUGUCCAACCUAAAUGCCUAAAAGUGACAGAAGGAUUAGUCCGAUAUAUCCACAAGUUGGAUGAAUAGCCAGCCAGUAAAUAAAAGAAUUUGUCAUCUGUUGUGACAAGGGAAAAUGCUUAUGACAUUAUCUCAUAAUAAUGAAGCUGAGUAUUGAUUAAAUCAAAUGUCUGCCACUGUGCUGUGCUUAGUCAUGAUUGACUCUUUGCAACCCUAUGCACUGUAGCGUGCCAGGUUCCUCUGUCCGUGGGAUUUUCCAGGGAAGAAUACUGCGAGUAGGUUGCCAUUUCCUCCUCCAGAGGCUCUUCCUGACCCAGGGAUCAAACUCGUGUCUCUUGUGUCUCCUGCAUUGGCAUGCGGAUUCAUUACCAACUGUGCCAAAUCAAAUGUCAGUAAAGUCCUUUCUUAGAGAUUUGGAGUAUUUGGGGGAACAACAAUUCAUUACUUAUUUUUUCUUUUAAUUUUUUGAAAGGAAAACAGAACAUAACUCACAUUUAUUCACAACUUAAACUAUUCACAUGAUAGGCGUGUGCUUAUUUAUAUGAUUUUGUUUCACUGGAAAACUUUAUUCAUUCAUUACAUGAUACACAGGACAUUCUAUUUGUAACAACUGUAUUCUUCAAAAGUAUAUAGGCACUCAAUUUUACAAAUUACUAAUUUUCUUUUUCUUCCAUACAUGUUACAGGCUUGAUGCCAGGUUAAGUGCUUGUUAUAUUGCCUCUUUCCUGCAAAGCAGUCUUCCCCUUUUGAAAAUACAGUUAAAAUAUUGUUUAUAAUACAUGGGUC